rnacentral:rRNA from 1 species
CUACGGGUGGCACCAGUGGGGAAUAUUGGACAAUGGGGGAAACCCUGAUCCAGCAAUGCCGCGUGUGUGAAGAAGGCCUGCGGGUUGUAAAGCACUUUCGGUUGGGAGGACUGCUUCUAGCACUAAUAUUGUUGGAAGUUGACGUUACCUUCAGAAGAAGCACCGGCUAACUCCGUGCCAGCAGCCGCGGUAAUACGGAGGGUGCAAGCGUUAAUCGGAAUUACUGGGCGUAAAGCGCGCGUAGGCGGCUAGAUCAGUCGGGUGUGAAAGCCCCGGGCUUAACCUGGGAACUGCAUCCGAUACUGUCUAGCUUGAGUACAUGAGAGGAGAGUGGAAUUCCACAUGUAGUGGUGAAAUGCGUAGAUAUGUGGAGGAACACCAAUGGCGAAGGCAUCCCCCUGGCCAGAUACUGACGCUGAGGUGCGAAAGCGUGGGGAGCAACCAGGAUUAGAUACCCCCGUAGUC